rnacentral:rRNA from 1 species
UACAGAGGUCCCAAGCGUUGUUCGGAUUUACUGGGCGUAAAGGGUGCGUAGGUGGCGGGGUAAGUCUGGUGUGAAAGCUUCGAGCUCAACUCGGAAAAGCAUUGGAAACUAUCCCGCUGGAGGGUCGGAGGGGAGACUGGAAUUCUCGGUGUAGCAGUGAAAUGCGUAGAUAUCGAGAGGAACACCAGUGGCGAAGGCGGAUCUCUGGGCAGUUCCUGACACUGAGGCACGAAGGCCAGGGGAGCAAACGGG